GAUCGAUAUCUUGGUAAAAUAUUCAUUUUUAAACUAGCGGGCAGUGAAAUCUUUGCUUUGUGUGCUAAAGUCAACAGUCGCUUGGUUUGAGCUCAAAUAAAUGCGGGGAUGCCUCGGCUCGGAGCAGUCGGCCUCCUCCCUCCGCGAGCUGGACGCUCCGCAGCCCGCCCGCCCGCCGGCCCGCCGGCCGCCGCAGGAACCCCUGGAUAAAGACCAGCUCAACCAUCGCUGAGAAAACAGACCUAGGCUUCCCAGGGCGGUUAACCCGCCGGCCUCUGGGCAGAGACUAAAAGACAAAACAAAAUAAAACAACAACAAAAAACUCCCAGUGUGUUUCCUACUCUUCUUUUUCUUGGAGGAAAGCAAAGGGAGAGAAAUGGACUUCACCAGUGGUCUUUGGCUUCAUCAAUUCACAGGAAAUGGCAUCAAGAUGGUUCAACUAAGACAUGAUCACUAAAAACAUUAUAAUAAUACCUUUUUGAAAAACUCAGUUUCUCCUGUUUACUAAAUAUUUAUUUCAUCAACAUGGGCUGCAUUCCACUGUGUCAGGAUUCUGCAUGUGGGUGGAGCACUGUUCCGGCCUGAGAAGAUGGUUCUGAGGCCACUUAGCAAGACAUUUUCCAGCAUGAGCAGGUUUCUCUGUGGAAAUAGUGACACCUGUUCUGGUGUGUUGUCUUUCCUCAGGGAACUUAAGGGGUACUAAGCUCCUGAAAAUGUUCUUUAUGCUGGUUGAAGCUCUUAUGUCACUGUACUGAUUCCCUACGAUGCAGAUUUGAAUCACAGAGUAAUUAAAAUAUGGAUCAAAUAAGGCUGGGGUUCACCAAGGCUGAAAGCUGUAGCCAUUCAAGGCAUCAUUUCUGUCAUGAAAAUAUAGGACCUUUUCAAAACAUGCCUUCAGGAAGGUGUUCCCUUUUCAAACAAAAGUCUAAUGACUGCAUAACUCUUCUUGACCACAUCUUACACUUUCUCUAGACUUGCUUAUUUACAGCUACUGGAACAAAAAGAUGAAAUGAAUAAAGCACACUGAUUGUCCUAAGAGUCUUCUGUGACUAAAAGCACAUGAGCUUCUCCCCAGGCUGAGCUUUGACCCUCCCAAGCAUUUCCCCAAAGGCCAUGACACUGCAUCAGAUUGCUCCUGGACACUUUCCUCAGAGUUUUCAACAAAUAUAAACUGAGGAAUGGAGCACAGCACCAGAUUUGCUAAUCAAGAGGCAAUGGUCCCAGUCCAAAUGGGUGCUGUGUGUGAAUACAGAGCUCAGGAGAAGGGAAGGAGGUGUGUGAACAUCAGGAAUUGCAAAAUCUUGCUGAACCAAUAGACCAACAGCCAUUAACAUUUAUCAAUGCAAAGAUUCUAAAAUAUACAAGUGUGGAGUUGUCCUGCCCUAAGAGCUGAAGCUGUGACAAUCACGCUGCCAUGGUAGAUAUUUAAGCUCCCCUGAGGUUACUGAAUCUAACAAUGAAUAAACAAUGAAGAGUAGCUAAUUUUUGGAAAUCUCUUUCUAUGACCGGAAAAUAUUCACAAACUCAGAGUGAUUGUUUGGGGUGAAAGAUGGUCCCAUGCUUUGUGGGCCUCUCUUUGCUAUCUAUACAACGUUGGAAAUGAACCCCUCCCUUACAGGAAAGUGAAUAGCAACCAAGGUGAGCCCACCCUGGGAGGGCAGAGUGGGUGUACUUUCCUCUAAGAGCCCUGAAAACAACAGGGCACACAAACAGCCACAGCACCCUCAACAAUGCCCCACCAUCUGCCCACCAGGGCACACAGAUUCACGCAGAUUCAGUGACACAUUCCAAAAAAAGGGAAUUAGGGAGGACCCAUGGCAUGGCUAAUGGGGAGAGAGCUUUACUACUUUUAGCGCUAUUGCUAAUUAUUGGAGCAAAGAAAGGCAUACAAGGAAUGGAACCCAACCUGUUUAAAGUAAUAAAUGUCAACCCUAAAGUGCAUGGAACCAUCUCUCCUUCCCUUUUGAGGACUGUGUGCUUCACAAGCUGGGCGUUUGCUGCAUGGGGUUUUCUAAUGUAAUGUGAAUUUUCAAUGUGCUUUGUCUCUGUAGAGUGGCUUUAAAAAGCCCUUGAAGUCCUCAGCUUUAAAUCCAUGCUAAUAGGGGAAGUCUUUUUUUUUUUUUUGGAGGUGAGGAGCUUUGGUUGGGAGAAACAUUGACCCAGACUGCACUCUGGGUAAACUAGGGCAAAAGACCUGAUAUCGUCUGCAGGGUACUUAUUAACCACUGUUCAUUUGCAGGAUCAAUAUUUCCAGCAAAGGAGUCAACACUCAAGAUACACUGCUACGUCUCACUUUUUCCUUGACACAACAAUUUAUUUUAUAAAUGCAUCUGCUGGAGAAGAAAAGGCAGUACCAAGGAUUGUGUCUUUUAUCUCCAGGAUAUGCAAAGCGCAUUUAUUUUCAGCUUUUAUCUCUGGAAUUGUAUGUUGAUCCCAUACAUAUAGAUUGAUUUUGUUCAGGUAGAUAAUGAAAAGUCAAGUGGAAAAUUACACAAUGGCAUUCACGAUCCUAGUCUUAUAUCGGUAUAUAAAUUGGUUUAUUAUUUCAUUCUUUUAAAGAGGCUUUUUUUUGGUACCAGGAAAACUUCAAAAUGCAUUGUGUUGUCAGCCUCACUGAAUUUUCUUUUGGAGGAGGAGGUAGGGAGGGGAAGCCAAAGCCCCGAUUUCUCCUGCUCCUUUUGCUAAUUGUAUUGGCUAAAUGAGUUUUCACAGAGGGGGGUCCUGGCUGCUUUUUGCUCUCCCCCAGACCACUUGUAGGUUGCACACAGGGCUUCUAUAACUCUUUCUGAGUCAGGACAAAGAUAUCCGCCGUGCACACCCUGUGACAUAGGUGGAUAUUUAUUUCAUCCCGGGCAAUUCUAAAUUUUGUCAUGAUGACUGAAAGAGGCAAUCCCCUCCUGAGCAUUAAGAGGCCAGGGGUGAGAGGGUGGCAGCAUAGAAAAGCCACCACCCAGAGACAGCUUGGAGCCAUGAUCCUGGAGGAAAUGUUAUUAAUAAACAUCUUUUGGACAUUUGGUAGCCCGUGGAGCUUGCUCCAGCUUAAAGCAAUUAAUUCAGGACACUGACAUAAACUCUCCAGAUCUUUGACAGCUUGGAGCCGAAAUAAAAAUGCUAGUUCUCCGGGGAAGAGAAGAGGAUGGCUAGCCCUUUUCUGGACUGUUUGCUUAUAGGCCCAGAGAGCAACCUUCCUUGCAGAAUGAAAUGCAAGGGCACAAACAAUGUACCAGGGAGAGAAUAGAAGAUGGGAAUGAACAGUUUGAACUAUUUGCUCAGCAGAAGGGCACCACAAUGCUGGGGUAGUGGUUUUCCCAUGCGUCCACUGUCCCUUCUUUGGGAUCUUUUGUUGUCCCCUGUCUCCUUUGGCCAGAUAAGAGCACAGCUGCAGCAUUGCAGCUAACAAGUAGGCCGUACUUAUCCCCCUAAAUCUCGGGGUGCCUUUACUGUAACAAGUUAUGCUCGGCUCUCUUUUAUUUUACAAGAGGAUGGUGAGGGAGAGAAUGGAAGAACAGAGGGGGCGGACGUAUAAGACAUUUGACACUGCCUAUGUCUGAUUUCUCUUUCUUUCUUUCUUUCUUUCUUUCUUUCUUUCUUUCUUUCUUUCUUUCUUUCUUCUUUCUUUCUUCUUUCCUUCCUUCCUUCCUUCCUUCCUUCCUUUCUUUCUUUCUUUCUUUCUUUCUUUCUUUCUUUCUUUCUUUCUUUCUUUCUUUCUUUCUUUCUUUCUUUCUUGCAAGCUGUGAUCGGAUGCAAUCUUUGUGGGGCAUUUAAAUGGAAGGGUUCAUUGAUGUGUAUUGCUUGCCAAGCCAAAAUGUUGCCUUUGGGGAAAAGGGAGAGAGGUGUUCAUGGAGUGCAGGGAAAGGAGGUUUUGGGGCAGAGAUUUUGAUUUAAAAUAACCAGACUUCUUCUGGCUGAUGAAAAGAGGCAAAAGUUUUAAAUUGUCAAGUUUAAAACUAUGUUCAGUUAUGAUUUGCCACUUCUGAAUAUUAUUUUGGAUUUCCCCUUUCAUGCUUAUUUUGUUCAGAAUCCUAAUGAAUAGAGGUUGCUGGACUCAGGGUAAAAGCAGGAUGAACUGGAGAUGGGACAUACAAGGUACUUUUGUAAUUGCCAUAGAUUACACCUAUAAUCAGAGUAAAUGUCAUCAACAAAUAAUCAAAACAUUUUUUACAUUUGCUCUUCUAAAAUCAGAGCCUAUUUUAAAUAUAAAAGAAAGUAGAUGUGAUAAUAAUAUAAACUACAAUUACAUUAAGUUGAUAUUAAAGUCAAAAUCUAACGUAGAUUUGCACUGUUGGGUGUGUGUUCCGAAUCAGUGGGUUUUCCCACUGAUGUUGAUUUCGGGAGCCAGGCUUCAAUGUUUAAUUCUAUUGUAAUGUGGUUAUUUAGCCUGAAUGGUUUUAUAAGGUGAAAAGGCAAAAAAUUUAAUUCCGAAGAAAACUAGUGUUUUACUAUGACUGUGGUAAACAUUUCCGAAGCCCACCUGUGGGAAAUACAAAGUUUUAAUGCUGUGUGUUUUUUUGUUUUUGUAUUUUGUCUCAUCGACAAAACUGGCAGAAAAAAAUGCUUUCGCAUAUUUUUCCUGCUGGGUGGUCAGAAGGAAAGGCCGUGAAGCUAAAUGUCUCCCAUUGAGACGCUGUUCUGCAAAGAGCCGACCUCACGUGCCGCCGCCAGAGAAGAGAGCACCUGUUUAUCAAGGCUCACUGUGAGGCUGAGCUCAGCGCUGGCAGGCGAGGGGCCGCAAGCAUCCCCCACAGCCACCGAGAGGGCAUCCCUGCAGGGAAAUCAUAUCCGACAUGCCUGUGCCCACACCAGACUUAAGACUGCCUCUAAAAUGUCCAUGAAGCCAUUGUCCAGUAGAGCUGUUAGUUUUAACACCAGUUCAUAGGUGGAAGGAACUUGCCUUGUCUCAGAUGAGACUUUGGACUGUGGAUUUCUAAGUUAAUGCUGAAAUGAGUUAAGACUUUUGGGGACUGCUGGGAAGGUAUGAUUAGUUUUGAAAUGUAAGGAUGUAAGAUUUGGGAGGGGCCGGGGUGGAAUGAUAUGGUUUGGCUGUGUCCCCACCCAAAUUUAAUCUUGAAUUCCCACGUGUUGUGGAAGGGACUCGAUGGGAGGCAAUUGAAUCAUGGGGCAAGUCUUUCCUGUGCUGUUCUCGUGAUAGUGAGUAAGUCUCAUGACAACUGAUGGUUUUAAUAAGAGGAAUUCCCCUGCACUAACUCUCUUUCUUUUCUUGUCUGCUGCCAUGUGAGAUGUGCUGUUCACCUUCUGCCAUGAUUGUGAGGCGUCCCCAGACACAUGGAACUGUAAGUCCAUUAAACCUUUAUUUCUUCCCAGUCUCAGGUAUGUCUUUAUCAGCAGCAUGAAAAUGGACUAAUAUAGCACCUCUGCUGACAGCUAUAGGACCAAGGACUGUAGACCCAAAUGCAGCAGGUAACCUUCCCUCUGGCUGAGCCUUGGACCAUCUUGUGUCCUGCCUCUGCUCUACUUCUGGAACCUUCUGUAUCACACCUGCCUGUCAUUUCUUGUUAGGUGUGCACACUGUUCCUUUACUCCUGCCCCAGGGAAGUGUGCCUGAGUUCUUCUUUUGUUGACCACCUGGGCUGAGGAUCAAUGCUGCCACCAGCUGUGGGCAUGUCUGGAAUUUUCCCUGGAAUCCACGGACAAAUACACUUGUUCAGUUUUUAAUUUAUUUUAAAUUUUUAUUUGUGCUCCUCCACAGCCACACGUAUUUUCCUGUCAUGAAGAUUUUCUUUAAUAAAGCUGCAAGUUUUGGGGAAAGUAUGUGUGAUGACUGGGAACUGAUUCCCGAAGGCUAGCUGCAAACCACGACUGGGAAAGAAGCAGGAUGGGCCCAGACUUUGCAGUGGCUGCUGUCCACCAGAACAUUCAGGUUCAGAAGGGUCGUGGGGGUCCCCGAGCCUGCUGAAAGAUGAGGCCCAGUCCUGGCUCCACUCAACUUACCGCAUCCAUGCUUCAUUGCUCCUCAAAGCACUCACGACUCUGAUAUUUUGCUUCUAUAUUUGCUUCUUAUUUGUCUCCCAUCACUAGGAUGAAAUCUUCCAGAGAGCAAUGGUUUUCUCUGUCUUAUUCACUGUUGUAAAUAGUGCCUGGCACAUAGUAGGCACUGAAUAAAUAUUUGUUGAAUCAAUGCAUGAAUGAAACUUCAA